AUGAACGAAAAUAAAUUGACGGUCAGUACUGCUAUAGAACCAGAAAAAAUAAAGAUUCGAUAAGUGGAAUAAAAUAUCAGCUUCUCUACAAUAAUUUCACUGAAGUUCGGAGGUUCUAUCUUGUAUUUACUGUGAUACACAAAAAAUGCAAUAAAUUCACCGAUUAAAUUUUCUGUACGCUUUGAAAAGUCCAAAAUUUAUACUUUUUUUGAAAAUAAAUAAAAUACAUUUUUUAAAAUAAAUCUUGUAUCAUGAAAAGUUGGAAAGCUUCAUUUUAUUCGUUUUUCCUUAACUCAACCGUUAGUUCAAUAAAUUCUGAACAAACAAAUUAUAGAAACAUCGCUGAUGGUUUUAUUUUAUCUAUAAAAAAAACGAUCGGCACUGGCAAGGAAAUAAAAUAUAACCGUAAAAAUACUUGAAACGAUGAAAUUUUACAGAAAACAUUUUUUUUCAAUUUAAUUCUUUUCCUGCAAGCAGAGCAUGACCAUAGAUAUACGCGGAUGGGAAAAAAUCGGUACUCGUUUGAAGAAUCUCUAGCUGCAUAUCCCAUUCCAUCACCCCGAAAUCUGUGCGAUUACAGUAAUAUAAAAAAGUGUAUAGAAAUGAAAAAUCUGCGAUUUCUUUCCUGCUCGUUUUCACGGAGUUUCAGUGGUACAUUUUCAAGUUAUCUCGUCUCUUGUUCCUCGGAUGACCAAUCAAGGAAAUUCUUUUCUCAUAAAUUUAUGCUAAAAUUAAAUGGAUUCCUCAUAGAAUAGUAGCUUGAUUUAUCUCUCAUUUUUAUGGGUUGAAAUUUUUACUAACUCUAAAUGUGACAUCCUGGCAAAGGGUCAACGUCUUAUGCCUAACUAAAGCUUCUGACAACGUUUUCUCAUGCAAAUAAAGACUCGAAAUCGUUGAAAACAUAAUGUUACUUUCACGAAGCCAACUUUCCCAGACGAAAUUGUGCUUCUGUAAUAUUUCAAGCGAAGCCAAAAAAGGACAGUACGAACGUCUCAAUCUUAAGGAAGCUGGCUUUUUCAUACUCAAUAACAAUCGAAAUUCGAAAAUGUUAGUCUUCCUUGUUAAUCGAUUUGUCCUUGAACAAGUGGACCAUUGUAAUCGUCUUAUUUUUGAGAUUCAAUUAAACUAAGAGUUAUUAUGAUAAUUUUUGAACCCCUCGGAGCCUUUGCUAGAAAAGCCAUAUGGCAAAAUAUCAAUAAACUGUAAAACUUUUUCGUUCACGGGAAACUCACAUGCGAAGGUGGGAAUGUUACAAUGUUCGGAGUUGUUAAUGAUCGGUGGUCGGUUCGGUCAGUAUAUGCGUGCAUACACAAAAAUGUGUGGAUGGGUAUAUACACGUGCGCGGGAAGGCGAAAGCAGGAGUAGAAGGAGCGCGACAUCAAGGGCGAUUGGUCAGGUAAAACACUCGGAUGAAAGGGGAUUUGAAGGGGCGAACAAAGACUGCGUAAAAAGUGAGAAAAAAAAGUGCGAAUCGAUGAGAGAACGACAUAUGGGCCGUUAAGCUCUGCUAAGAUAAGAGGACACCGGACAAAUAUUUGCGGCAGUCUGACGCCUUCGCAUUCGUGUCCUAGUACUACGGAUCUCCUUUCCCUCUCGCAGAUCCCUAACGGCAAGAAUACGUAGAAUGUAGUUCGUUAGGGGAAUAUGGGGCAAAGUGGACUUUCCUAAAAUUAAAGAUGAAAUAAAUUUUAAAAAAUGCUUUCUUUCUAAUCCAGGUUAUGUUUUCACUAAUGUUCUUUAAAUCAUUUUCAUGUGUUUGAAAAAUGAAUUUGAGAUAAUAACCAAAAAUCAUGGACACUGUGAAAUGAAAAAAAUGUCUAUAUUUUAUGAAAUUUUGUAUAGUUGUAAGAAACUGAGAUGUUGAUUUUAUUUAUACUAGCAACGAACAGGCUUCACAAUUCGAUAUAUUAAAAUAUCUUUUUAAUGAAAAGUGUGAGCCCACUUUCGACAUUACGUGCAACGGGAAUCGAACCUUUGAUCGGUUUCGAGUAUAGAGUUACACGCGAAGAAUGCAGAAAACGUUUUUUUUCGUUAAAGAAGACGUCAAGAAACAAAAAACUUUCAACGAAAUUUAAAACAAUAAAAAAAUAGGGCGAAGUGGACACGAAAAUUCAUUUUUCUUUCAUAAAAUUCAAAUUUCGUCAAAUAUUACGGCGCAUGUGAGAAAAUUAGUUAAAAUCGUCACGAGAUAAUUUUUCGUUGAGGGCAAAUUCAUUUUCCUCAUUACAUUUUUUUUCGAUAGGAUACGAGGAAUAAUUGUGAAAAAUAAACUUUUAAACUCGGCAGUACAGACCAUACCAAUCGACAAUUCUUGCUUAAUUGCUUGUUCGUUGCGGCACGUUGCGGCACGUUCGCCUAUAUCUCGAUGUUUAAAUUGAAAUUAUGAGUGCGAUACGUUUGGAUAUCCCAAGAAGAAUGACGGAAUGUUUGGGUUUUCCACGAGCCGAGAUAGAAGCUGUGCUUCUUCCGGGGGGGUUCCGUUCAUAGCAAACUUCUCGUACAUUUGCGUGUAUCUAUGAAACUGUAAAAAAUUGCUCUUUGUCGAGUAAAUAGGAUUAUGCACGCUUUUUAAGGAGUUUAUACCGUGUCGUAUAAAGUCUAGGACGACAAGUAUCGGAGAUUGGUCGUAAAUUACUUGGAGCUUAUUCGAGUAGCAAUAAAAGCUGGCACUAUCGAGGAGUUUCAUGCAUCUUUUAUUUGUCACGGCGGGAUUUAGAACUAUCGAAGCGAGCAAAGUACGGUUUAUAAAGCGGACCGGAGAGGCUCAAUUGAUAUCAGACGCUUCGUAACUUCAUUUGUAAUUCUAUUAUUAAAAAAAAUGGACAAAAGACUGUCAUCCAUCGUCAUUUUAGUCGUCGUAUUUGCCAUAAUCGAGACUCAUUGUCAGACCCAAACUCGAAAGAAAGACUCAGGAGUUCCGAGCCUCGUCAGUGGAUCUGGCCCUCGAGGAUUACCCGGGCCACCUUUUAAUAGUACGACGACUCAGAGAUCGAACGGUGUGGAUCGAAAGGGGCAUCCUAAAAAACCAGGUCAGAGAUCACAAGUCCGCCCUUUUCCUCCUACCUCCGGCUAAACGUUCAACAUCGUCAAUGAAAAGACUGCAAUUUCGCAUAAACGGAUCCCCACAAGAAUGACUUGAGUAUCGGCAUAACAAUAAUAUGAUUUUUUUUGUCAAGGACACAUCGAUGCGAGUACCAUGUUUAUUUGUACCCCGAUCAUGUGAUUUUAACUAUUGUUUACAAUUUUUUCCGAAUGGCCCUCUGUGUAUUCCAAAUAAAUGAUGAAAAAAUA
rnacentral:lncRNA from 1 species